rnacentral:tRNA from 1 species
UUGGAAUGUAGCUCAGUUGGUAGAGUGCUUGCCUAGCAUGCACAAGGCCCUGGGUUCAAUCCCCAGCACCAAA